ensembl:misc_RNA Metazoa_SRP Metazoan signal recognition particle RNA
GCCGGGCAUGGUGGUGCGUGCCUGUAGUCCCAGCUACUUGGGAGGCUGAGGCAGGGGAAUCGCUUGAACCUGGGAGAGAGAGAUUGCAGUGAGCUGACAUCACAUCACUGCACUCUAGCCUGGGUGACAGAGCAAGACUCUGUCUCAA